rnacentral:lncRNA from 1 species
CUCACGCUUCCUCUCUCUCACACUCACAAGUUACCUUUUAUUUUGAAAACACCAUAACACAUUCUUUAUAUAUUCAUUUUUUCUCUCUAACAGUAACCAAAAAACCUGCUCUCUCUCUCACCAAAAAAUAAGAAUACAUAAAAACUCUCUCUCAGAAAGAGAAAGAAAAACAAAAGGAGGAGAACUUUCUUCCUCCAUCCAUUUUCGUCGGUGAUACCCCACCACACAAACCAACCUCGCCGCGGUUUCCACCACCUCCAUUAACUCCACAAAACCCACUUUCUCUCCAAUGACCUCCUUGGCUGGAAAACGAAAAACUCUCACGUGACCACCGAACCGCCGCGACCUCCUUCACAGCCCCACUCACCUCCCUCCAUCGCCGUGAACACAACACCACAUCACCGAAAUCUACUUCGUCUCUUACAACACAACCUCACCGGAAACUUCUGGAAUUUCACGGAGAAUCUCUUCGAAUCGGUAGCAAAUUUCCGUCGUCGGUAAGUAGUUCAAAGAUGGAUACACUCUUGCCGACAACAACAACCAAACGGUACACAACUCAAGCACCUGUGCAAAAUCGAUGUUGAUUGUUCGGUAAUCUCCUUUUAUUGCGUGAUUGGAUUUGCUUUGUUUUGUUCAUUUGAUUUCUGAAGUUAAUAUGAUUUAUGUUGAUUUGGUUAUGAGGUUGAUCUUUGUAGAUUGUUCGGUAAUCUCCUUUUAUUGCGUGAUUGGAUUUGCUUUGUUUUGUUCAUUUGAUUUCUGAAGUUAAUAUGAUUUAUGUUGAUUUGGUUAUGAGGUUGAUCUUUGUUUAUUAUGGGGAAGAGGUUGAUGUUACCAUUCUUGAUAUGAUAAUAAUGUUUCUUACUCCUUAUUCACUUAUGGAAACAUUUGGGUGUUUCGAUUGAUUACAGUAAAGGCAUGUUAAAGUUUUAUCCAU